rnacentral:rRNA from 1 species
GGGGAAUUUUGCGCAAUGGGGGAAACCCUGACGCAGCAACGCCGCGUGGAGGAUGAAGUCUCUUGGGACGUAAACUCCUUUCGAUCGGGAAGAUUAUGACGGUACCGAUAGAAGAAGCCCCGGCUAACUUCGUGCCAGCAGCCGCGGUAAUACGAGGGGGGCAAGCGUUGUUCGGAAUUAUUGGGCGUAAAGGGUGCGUAGGCGGCCUUCUAAGUCUUGUGUGAAAUCUUCGGGCUCAACUCGAAGUCUGCAUAGGAAACUGGGAGGCUGGAGUAUGGGAGAGGUGAGUGGAAUUCCUGGUGUAGCGGUGAAAUGCGUAGAUAUCAGGAGGAACACCUGUGGCGAAAGCGGCUCACUGGACCAUAACUGACGCUGAGGCACGAAAGCUAGGGGAGCAAACA